GCCUGGACAGCUCAGUUGGUUAGAGUGUGGUGCUGAUAAUGCCAACGUUACAGGUUUGAUCCCCUUAUGAGACA